rnacentral:rRNA from 1 species
UGGGGAAUAUUGGACAAUGGGCGAAAGCCUGAUCCAGCCAUGCCGCGUGAGUGAUGAAGGUCUUCGGAUCGUAAAGCUCUGUGGGAAGGGACGAAAAAAGCCGACCUAAUACGUCGGAGCUUGACGGUACCUUCUUAGCAAGCACCGGCUAACUCCGUGCCAGCAGCCGCGGUAAUACGGAGGGUGCAAACGUUGCUCGGAAUUAUUGGGCGUAAAGCGCACGUAGGCGGCUCGUUAAGUCGGAUGUGAAAGCCCUCGGCUCAACCGAGGAAGUGCAUCCGAAACUAGCGAGCUUGAGUACGGAAGAGGGUCUCGGAAUUCCCGGUGUAGAGGUGAAAUUCGUAGAUAUCGGGAGGAACACCAGUGGCGAAGGCGGAGACCUGGGCCGAUACUGACGCUGAGGUGCGAAAGCGUGGGGAGCAAACAG